rnacentral:misc_RNA from 1 species
GCAAACUUGGUCAUUUAGAGGAAGUAAAAGUCGUAACAAGGUUUCCGUAGGUGAACCUGCGGAAGGAUCAUUAUCGUGGGGGUCCUCGGGCCCUUUGCGUGAUGCAACCCUUGCCUUUUUGUUAGCAUCUAUCCGUUUCCUCGGCAGCCUCGCCUGCCAACGAGGACCUUCAGAAAACCCUUUUGUAAUCUCGGUACGAUACUCAGAAAAUGCACAAACGUUUAAAACUUUCAACAAUGGAUCUCUUGGCUCUGGCAUCGAUGAAGAACGCAGC